rnacentral:rRNA from 1 species
UACGUAGGAGACGAGCGUUGUCCGGAGUUACUGGGCGUAAAGGGUGCGCAGGCGGCCCUGCGCGUCGCGAGUGAAAUCUCCCGGCUCAACUGGGAGGGUGCGCCGAAUACUGAAUGACUCGAGUGCGGGAGAGGAAAGUGGAAUUCCUGGUGGUAGCGGUGAAAUGCGUAGAUAUCAGGAGGAACACCGGUGGUGUAGACGGCUUUCUGGACCGUAACUGACGCUGAGACACGAAAGCGUGGGUAGCAAACAGG